rnacentral:tRNA from 1 species
GGGUCGUUAAUUCAGUUGGAAGAAUACUGCUCUUUUAAAGCAGGAGUCGCGGGUUCGAGCCCUGCACGACCCACCA